rnacentral:lncRNA from 11 species
CUGAGAACAUAAAUCAAAGCACCACCAGUCUUUGGCAGUCAAUAAAGGAGAAAACACUGUCUGAAUCCAAACAGUCUUCUUUAACAAACUCUGAGACUGAUGAUUGAUAAAGAUGUCCUGUAAUUUUGGCCACUUUGGUUGAAGUAGAGGCCACAAAGAUUUCCUGCAGUGAUCAAAGAAGAAUUCACAAAACCCUGCCUCAUGAUCCUUAUGUUUCUUUAGGUAAUAGGGAUAUUAAAAUAUCUCUAAGUUUUAACUGGGAUCAAAAUCUUCACACAUUUCACCUUCACAUGCAGAAUCAAUAUAGUUUAUAGUUUGUUACAUUCUGUGCUAGAAAGAUUUUUUCAAUUUCUUUAUUAUUACUCUGA